rnacentral:rRNA from 1 species
UGGGGAAUAUUGCACAAUGGGCGCAAGCCUGAUGCAGCCAUGCCGCGUGUGUGAAGAAGGCCUUCGGGUUGUAAAGCACUUUCAGCGAGGAGGAAGGGUAGCGUGUUAAUAGCACAUUGCAUUGACGUUACUCGCAGAAGAAGCACCGGCUAACUCCGUGCCAGCAGCCGCGGUAAUACGGAGGGUGCAAGCGUUAAUCGGAAUUACUGGGCGUAAAGCGCACGCAGGCGGUUUGUUAAGUCAGAUGUGAA